rnacentral:rRNA from 1 species
CAGCUGUAAACGAUGCAGACUAGGUGUUUGGACGGCCACGUGCCGUUCUAGUGCCGCAGGGAAGCUGUUAAGUCUGCCGCCUGGGGAGUACGAUCGCAAGAUUGAAACUUAAAGGAAUUGGCGGGGGAGCACCACAAGGGGUGAAGCUUGCGGUUUAAUUGGAGUCAACGCCGGAAAUCUUACCGGGACCGACAGCAACAUGAAGGCCAGGCUGAAGACUUUGCCGGAUUAGCUGAGAGGAGGUGCAUGGCGUCAGUGACU